AAGCAGCAGCAUUUUAGAUUUUUACUUUAACAAGCUUAAACUCCAACAAGUGAAACAUGGCAAGGAAUCUCCUUGUCUCUCUGGCUGGAGCUUUGGCUAUUGCCUCCUGUAUCUUGGCGGCGGAUUACUAUUAUGAUGAAAUCGUUUGUCAGAACGUACAGCCCGGUCUUUGGGCGAGAGAUGACAGAGAUUGCAUGGUAGCACAUCAGUGUGGUUUUGAUGGAGAAGUUAUUCAAUCGAUCCGAUGUAAUGCAUCUCAGGUUUGGUCUAAACUAGCAUCUGCCUGUGUAUGGGAAUGGGAUCCAGACCGAGAUGAUUGCAAUGGGUCACCACAAGUACCUCUACCCAAUGAUAACCGAUGUGUUAACCCAACCGGAAACAACCCAGAUCCAGAUGAUUGUUCCAGAUUUGUCUCAUGUUCAAACGGCACUCUAAUCGCCAUCCAAAGAUGUGGAGAUGGUACCCUGUUUUAUCCCAAAAAUAAUUCUUGUGAAUUCGCACAUUCCAUCGUUCAUGAAUGUGGAAGCCGGGCUAUACCAGAAACAAUUGUUAUUCGUCAAGAUGAUCCUAUUUGUAUCCAUGAAGGUCAAGUCGCUGAUCCUGAGAGUUGUGUUCAUUUCAUCUUAUGCCAAAAUGGACGCCGAACACAGCGUAUCCAAUGUCCACAUGGUACAGCAUUUGCCCCCCACAGUGGUCAGUGUGAAUGGAAAACAGAAGUGGAUUGUGGUCAACGUGGUGUGCGAUAAAUGCAAAUCUAUUCGCCCCAUUGACAUUUAAUUCUAUUGUUGCUAAUAAUUAAGUUGAUCAUGUAGCGUCAGAAGAAUCUUGUUCAUCUGUAAGAUGCUGCAAGUCGUUCGUUUUUCAUCUGCAGUGGCUUUUAAUUGUGAAGAAAAUAUUGAAAAAUAUUUUUGAAGCUUUCUUUUUUUAUCUUAUGUCAAAGGUUAACUACAUCAAAACAUUUAAUUUCAUUGACAUUACAUACAUUAAUCGAUUAAUUGAUCCAUUGAGAUAUGCACAUUAAUAUGUAAUCACUUAUAGCUACUGUUUCAAAAUUUCAUUUUUUUGUCAUUUUAAUAUUUCUUAUACUAUGAAAUAUUUUAUUUUUAAUUUCAAUGCUGCGUUUGAAUUUGUUUGCAAUCAUUUAAUAUUGAUGUGAUGGAAGGAGAGUGAAGUCUAGUCGUUCAAAUUAUAUAUAUUUUUGCCAAGUUGUGUCAUGUGCCCCAUGUAAAUGUAUUUUAUAUUAACAAUGGGAGUGUCGUUUGCUCGUUGUUGUUGAAAAAUAAAGGUGUACUACCUGUACUAAA